ACACGGAGGGCGCAAGCGUUGCUCGGAAUCACUGGGCGUAAAGCGGGUGUAGGCGGUCUAGCAAGUCAGAUGUGAAAGCCCACGGCUCAACCGUGGAAGUGCAUCUGAAGCUGCUAGACUUGAGUGCCGGAGAGGGAAGUGGAAUUCCUGGUGUAGGGGUGAAAUCCGUAGAUAUCAGGAGGAACACCGGUGGCGAAGGCGACUUCCUGGACGGCCACUGACGCUGAGACCCGAAAGCGUGGGGAGCAAACAGGAUUAGAAACCCUAGUAGUCC
rnacentral:rRNA from 1 species